AGUUUGGUAGAGGAGAGUGGAAUUCCUAGUGUAGAGGUGAAAUUCGUAGAUAUUAGGAGGAACACCAGUGGCGAAGGCGACUCUCUGGGCCAAUACUGACGCUGAGGUUCGAAAGCGUGGGUAGCGAACAGGAUUAGAUACCCUGGUAGUCCACGCAGUAAACGAUGAGUGCUAGAUGUUGGGAACAUUAGUUUUCAGUAUCGCAGCUAACGCGUUAAGCACUCCGCCUGGGAAGUACGGCCGCAAGGCUAAAACUCAAAUGAAUUGACGGGGACCCGCACAAGCGGUGGAACAUGUGGUUUAAUUCGAUGCAACGCGAAGAACCUUACCUGGGUUUGACAUGUUCACGAAAGCUCUGUGAAAACAGAGCCCUCUGCGAGCUUGCUCAAAGACGUGAUCACAGGUGAUGCAUGGCU
rnacentral:rRNA from 1 species